GUGUUCCCUUCUUUCCUGUUUGGGGACGAAUCUCUUCUCUCCUUGGCCAGCCCAGAUUGAGCCAAUUUGAAGCCUGCCUGCCUCAGAGAGAUAGUCUGGCCAGACCUGGGAAAAGGUUGGGAGAGAUUUAGGAAGCAAAAAGAGCAUGCACAGCCUUCAGUUGUGAGGAGAUACAAACCAAAGGGCUGAUGAAUGGGUACCAUAGAUUUAUAAUGGAGUUGGGAGUGCUGGGCUGAGCCCAGUGUUCUAAGGCCUCUACAUAUGGUGGCCAUGAAGCACCUGGGAAAGUCUGGCCAAGAGGUUAAAUAUGCAUUGUGAACAGCCACAGGAAGAAUACAUAUGUGUGGCUACAUGAAAGUGUGCUCUCAAGUGUGUGUAAGCCUGAAAGAUGGUAUAUUUAAAAUGAACAGAGAAAGAAAUCCAUGAAACAAUGCUUACCUGCGUUCACAGGUACACUGAGGACAAUUCCGAGAGACAUCAGUGUGGGAUACGUGACAGCGAUUCCAAAAUUUAAUACAAUAUUGAAUGCUGAAAUAAAGAAUUUAGAAAACUAGA